GACAGAGGGUGCAAACGUUGUUCGGAAUUACUGGGCGUAAAGGGCGCGUAGGCGGUCUGCUAAGUUGGAUGUGAAAACUCUGGGCUUAACCCAGAGCCUGCAUUCAAUACUGACAGGCUAGAGUUCUGGAGGGGAUAGCGGAAUUCCUGGUGUAGCGGUGAAAUGCGUAGAUAUCAGGAGGAACACCGGUGGCGAAGGCGGCUAUCUGGACAGAAACUGACGCUGAGGCGCGAAAGCUAGGGGAGCAAACAGG
rnacentral:rRNA from 1 species